UUGAUUAUGGCUUUUUUGAUAUAUAUUUCUAUGCCUCAGAUGCACAUUGUUUAAACAGAGUAUAUGUGUAAUCACAGUGGCUGAAUGUCCUUUUUGAGAUCCUGCAGCUGUUGACCCUGAGUGGGAGAAUGCCUUAUCCAGGUGUAGUCUUGUGCACACCUUUCCAGACCCAUAGCAGUGGUUUGUUUGCAGAGCUGUGAUUAUAUGGACAUUCUCUACACUUGGUAUACAGCAGUUCAGACAUGCAGCCCCAUUGGAAUGUGCUGAUAGAGAUAUACUUUUAAUCAUUCGGCUUCAUUAUAUUAUGAUUGGAUUUGAUGAUUCAUGUAUGGCCCUUCUUGAAAAAGAUCCUGGUUUUUGGAUCGAAACGUCGAAACCUUUGAGGCUACAAUAAAAAUUUUCUAUUGAAGAAAU